GCGAUGAUUCAUGCGGCGCUCUAUGUAGCGAAGGUGUAUGGUUACGCCAAAGAGAAUUCUGGUCCCCUGAAGCCUGGCGUUCAGACCGUCGAAGGCACUGUUAAGACCGUAGUUGGCCCAGUGUAUGAUAAAUUUCAUGACGUUCCUGUCGAGGUCCUCAAGUUUGUUGACCGCAAGGUAUAUUUCUUUGCACAAUUGACAUGAGUUUUAUUCUUAUCGUUUUACCUAUCAUGGAUUUGGAUUAAUUACUGGAUUCCACUUUUUGAGAUAGAAAUUCUGCUUUUGUAUUAUUAUGAUAUCAUAAUUGGGAUUAUACAUUAAUUAGCUUCAGGAUGUCUCUAUGCAUUGACCAUUUUUUUAAAUGGGAUCGAUUGCUGUUCAGACCGUCGAAGGCACCGUCAAGACCGUGGUUGGCCCUGUCUAUGAUAAAUUUCAUGAUGUCCCUGUUGAGGUCCUCAAGUUUGUUGACCGCAAGGUAUAUUUCCUUGCACAAUUGACAUGAAUUUUAUUUUUAUCGUUUUACCUAUCAUGGAUUUGGAUUAAUUACUGUAUUCCACUUUUUGAGAUAGAUAUUCUACUUUUGCAUUAUUAUGAUAUCACAGUUGGGAUUAUACAUUAUUUGGAUUGAUUAAUU
rnacentral:lncRNA from 1 species